AUUGAACGCUGGCGGCAGGCUUAACACAUGCAAGUCGAGCGGGGUGAUGGUGCUCGCACUAUCACUUAGCGGCGGACGGGUGAGUAAUGCUUAGGAAUCUGCCUAUUAGUGGGGGACAACAUCUCGAAAGGGAUGCUAAUACCGCAUACGUCCUACGGGAGAAAGCAGGGGAUCACUUGUGACCUUGCGCUAAUAGAUGAGCCUAAGUCGGAUUAGCUAGUUGGUGGGGUAAAGGCCUACCAAGGCGACGAUCUGUAGCGGGUCUGAGAGGAUGAUCCGCCACACUGGGACUGAGACACGGCCCAGACUCCUACGGGAGGCAGCAGUGGGGAAUAUUGGACAAUGGGGGGAACCCUGAUCCAGCCAUGCCGCGCGUGUGAAGAAGGCUUUAUGGUUGUAAAGCACUUUAAGCGAGGAGGAGGCUCUUUUGGUUAAUACCCAAGAUGAGUGGACGUUACUCGCAGAAUAAGCACCGGCUAACUCUGUGCCAGCAGCCGCGGUAA
rnacentral:rRNA from 1 species